rnacentral:lncRNA from 1 species
AUUAUAACAUAGUGUCUCUCCAAAAUAUUUUCUAAUUCUGAGAUUCUGUGAGUAUAAAUCUAAAUAGCACGAAACAAUGGAGAGGCUAUUCAAGACCAUUUAUAGUUCCUAUCACAAAAAAAGAAAGAAUGAGAAGACAGGAGAGAGCAAAGAAUAAAACAAAAACUGAAACAAAAAAUAGAAACAGAAAAGAAUAAAAAAGAAACAGAGCAUUAAAAAUGCAUUCGGAGAUUAAGAGAAGAGAGAUUUGUUCACCUUGAUUUUUGCUCAAAAAAGCAGUCACAUGCCAAUUCAUUUCUUUUUCUUUUUUUUGUAGAGACAUAAAAGGCACACAAUGAAAUCUUAAUAAAUGUAUUGGAUGUUGCAGCAUUAACUGAUGAGCCAGACAAUUGCCCUGGUUUUACUUUGGGAGCCACCUUUCUCUUUCAGGUGCUGUCUCAGUGGAAUAGUCAACCAAUGUAUCCUACAUUUUGGACCAGCAGAAGGAAGUAAUGAGAACGGAAAACAAAUAAGAAGUGAGUUGGAGGGAGAAGGAGACUUUAGCAUCUUCCUGAAAUCAGGAAGAAAGUUUCAAGAAUAAAGUAAUCCAUAGGGUCAAAUACUGCAGUAAGUUUAAGUAGGAUGAAGACUGCAAAGAUGGUAUUAGUUUGGUACUUAGGACAUUGGUGACCUCCACAGGUGACCUUCAGGAGAAUUAUCUGGGGAACUUGUUGAUAGAAUUUGUGAAUCUCCACCUUUAGGGAUUCUGAUUUAGAAGGAGUAGGAAGAAGGCCUUAGGAUCUCCAUUUAUAACAACCACUACUGAUUAUUUUGAGGCAGGUAGCAUACAGACCACAUUUUAAAGAAACACUAGGUAAGUGUGAUUUUCAUUCAAAGGACAAAAAACAUAAAGUUACCUAAUUCAGGGACCAUUUCAAAGACCAAAUCAAAUCAGUAGCCUGGCUGAUCUGAUCGACUGUGCAGAAACUAGCCAUUACCAUGGCAAAGUGGGGAGGAACAGUCAAUAAAAAGCAAUUGAUUUAUUGUUCAUAUGUAAGAUGAAUGUAGACAUGGAUUUUGUUUCAAG